GACGAACGCUGGCGGCGUGCCUAAUACAUGCAAGUCGAACGCAGUGGGGACGGGUGAGUAACACGUGGGUAACCUCCCAUCAGAGGGGAUAACACUUGGAAACAGGUGCUAAACCGAUACUGAUGGAUGGACCCGCGGUGCAUUAGCUAGUUGGUGAGGUAACGGCUCACCAAGGCCACGAUGCAUAGCCGACCUGAGAGUGGGAUAGGCCAAACGGGGACUGAGACACGGCCCAGACUCCGACGGGAGGCAGCAGGGGGGAAUGUUGGGAAAGGGACGAAAGUCUGACCGAGCAACGCCGCGUGAGUGAAGAAGGUUUUCGGAUCGUAAACCGCUGUUGUUAGAGAAGCGGUAUCUAACAAGAAAGCCACGGCUAACUACGUGCAAGCAGCCGCGGUAAUAC
rnacentral:rRNA from 1 species